rnacentral:rRNA from 1 species
AUUGAACGCUGGCGGCGGGCCUAACACAUGCAAGUCGAACGAGUGGCGGACGGGUGAGUAGUGUCGGGGAAACUGCCUGAUGGAGGGGGAUAACUGCUGGAAAAGGUAGAUAAUACCGCAUACGAUCGGAUGGGCCCAGAUGGGAUUAGCUAGUAGGUGGGGUAAAGGCUCACCUAGGCGACGAUCCCUAGCUGGUCUGAGAGGCUGACCAGCCACACUGGAACUGAGACACGGUCCAGACUCCUACGGGAGGCAGCAGUGGGGAAUAUUGCACAAUGGGCGAAAGCCUGACGCAGCCAUGCCGCGUGUGUGAAGAAGGCUUUCGGGUUGUAAAGUACUUUCAGCGGGGAGGCGGUACCCGCAGAAGAAGCACCGGCUAACUCCGUGCCAGCAGCCGCGGUAAUAC